rnacentral:misc_RNA from 1 species
UUAACUAUUAUAUAGUACUCAGACGACACUGUAAUUCAAAGUUUAGGGUUCUCUGGCGGGCACUCACUAGCCGAAGCCAGUAGCCGAAGCGGCCCGCCAAAGCAACAAGAGUUUGUAUUCAAGGGUGGAGAUCUACCCGUUAGGGCAUGAACUCAGUAAUGAUCCUUCCGCAGGUUCACUUACGGAAA